rnacentral:rRNA from 1 species
UACGUAGGGGCAAGCGUUGUCCGGAUUUAUUGGGCGUAAAGAGCGUGUAGGCGGCUAGGUAGGUCCGUUGUGAAAACUCGAGGCUCAACCUCGAGACGUCGAUGGAAACCAUCUAGCUAGAGUCCGGAAGAGGAGAGUGGAAGUUCCUGGUGUAGCGGUGAAAUGCGCAGAUAUCAGGAAGAACACCCGUGGCGAAGGCAGCUCGCUGGGACGGUACUGACGCUGAGGCGCGAAAGCGUGGGGAGCAAACGGG